CCUACAAUGAAAUUUAAGAAGUUUCUUAGGUUUCGGCGCCAUUUUCGAUUGGACUGAGGCCCUGUAUCGAGGAAAAGUUGUUUCAAGAUGUUCCCAGUUAUUCAGGAUAAAUAGUAGUGAGCCUUUUCCUAUAACUUCCUGAAGAGGGCAGAACACAUUGAAAUUUUUCAAGUUUGCUGAAUAUCAGAUGGCUUGGCCAUGUAUGAUGCUUAGAGGUGAAGUAGCAGCACAUCAUGGUUUGUAGGAACAAGGAGAUACAGACCAUUCUGAGCUGCCUCUUCACCUCAGAGAUCAGACUAAAAGGACCUGCAUCAGCAGUUGUAACUUACCUGAUAUUCUUUGUGCUUUGUA